ACAGGAAAGCACUGUUUAUUGAGCAUAUACAAAUAUGUAAAAAUAGAGGGCAUGAAGAGAUGCAUGCUGGAAGAAAGGCAAAAGUAAUAUUGUUUUGUGUUCAGAAGAGGACAAGAACCCCUUCUCCUGGGAGAUUAGAAAAACCUUUAUGGAGGAGACGGCAUACACUGUUGAUAAUCAGAAAAAAGCAAUGGAUUAAGCUACGAUUAGGAAGAUUGACUCAACCAUAUCCUGGCUCCGUGGCAAUUCAACUUAAACUCAGAGCUUCAAGUUCCUCAACUACUCACACUAGUUUUUGGAUCAAUGGCACCAUUCACCUCUUCCCACCCUUGAUCUCACCAAAUAGCAGAUUGUAAAGCACAGGCAGAGGAGGCCCUCCCCAUGUCCACCACCACAGGCCCACAGAGAGUACUGCCAGGGUACUGACGAAGUUCACUUAAGGCCCAAGGACUCUUCAAUCAGCUUGUGGUGAAUGCUGCCAGGCCUGGGACUCAGGCUUUAGGGCAGUGGGCUCCCGUCUGGCCUGGGAAUUGCUGAAUGCAUAAAACAGGAUGGUGGCUGCACAACAACUGGCACUUCAAAACCUGUGUACAGGCCGGGCAUGGUGGCCCACGCCUGUAAUCCCAGCACUUUGGGAGGCCAAGAGUUUGACAACAUACCUUUGAAGCUUUGUGAUAUUUCUUCCAGAAGACAAGUUUGGAUCUGUCGCUUGUAACUGCAACAUCUAGGCAAAUACAAGGAGAAAAAAGUCAGAGGUCUCUUGUGGUUAAUAAAACUUACUGGCUGUAAUUGAUUUACUACAAUAAUAAUAAUAAAAUGGAAAAA